rnacentral:snRNA from 1 species
AUGCCUUCUCGGCCUUUUAGCUAAAACCAAGUGUACUAUCCAUUCUUGUCAAUUUUAUGCCACACAUAUCCUCAAUAUGAGGACAUGAUGGUAAAUGAGUGUGCGAAGUGGGAGGUGGACUUGGAGCUUGCCCUAUGCCUUGACCUAGCCGUGUAGUGCCCCAGGGAACAGGACUGGGUGAUGCGA